GACGAACGCUGGCGGCGUGCUUAACACAUGCAAGUCGAACGAAGCUUGAUUACGGAUUCUUCGGAUGAGUUAUGAUUUGACUGAUUGGCGGCCGGGUGAGUAACCCUUGAGUACCCUGCCCUUCGGAGGGGGAUAGCGUUUGGAAACGAACGUUAAUACCGCAUAAUGUAUUUUGACCGCAUGAUCGAAUUACCAAAGAUUUAUCGCUGAAGGAUGGACUCGCGUCUGAUUAGGUAGUUGGUGGGGUAACGGCCUACCAAGCCGACGAUCAGUAGCCGGACUGAGAGGUUGAUCGGCCACAUUGGGACUGAGACACGGCCCAGACUCCUACGGGAGGCAGCAGUGGGGAAUAUUGCACAAUGGGCGCAAGCCUGAUGCAGCAACGCCGCGUGAAGGAAGACGGUUUUCGGAUUGUAAACUUCUGUUCUUAGGGAAGAAUAAUGACGGUAGCUAAGGAGCAAGCCACGGCUAACUACGUG
rnacentral:rRNA from 1 species